rnacentral:rRNA from 1 species
GAGGAAGGUGGGGAUGACGUCAAGUCCUCAUGGCCCUUAUGUCCUGGGCUACACACGUGCUACAAUGGCGGUGACAGUGGGAAGCCAGGCAGCGAUGCCGAGCUGAUCCUCAAAAGCCGUCUCAGUUCGGAUUGUACUCUGCAACUCGAGUGCAUGAAGGUGGAAUCGCUAGUAAUCGCGGAUCAGCAUGCCGCGGUGAAUACGUUCCCGGGCCUUGUACACACCGCCCGUCACAUCACGAAAGUGGGUCGUACUAGAAGCGGGUGAGCUAACCUUCGGGAAGCAGCCCUCCAAGGUGUGAUUCAUGAUUGGGGUGAAGUCGUAACAAGGUAGCCGUAA